UACAGAGGUCUCAAGCGUUGUUCGGGAUUCAUUGGGCGUAAAGGGUGCGUAGGCGGCGCGGUAAGUCGGGUGUGAAAUCUCGGGGCUUAACUCCGAAACUGCAUUCGAUACUGCCGUGCUUGAGGACUGGAGAGGAGACGUGGAAUUUACGGUGUAGCGGUGAAAUGCGUAGAUAUCGUGAAGGAAGACCAGUGGGCGAAAGG
rnacentral:rRNA from 1 species